UUUAGGUAUUCAUCCUACAACAACGUUACAGCCAGUGACACUGAUCUCACUACUCUGAUGACCGACGUGGAAGAGGACGGUGUCCUAUGAGGACGAUGUCAGCGAAGGCAAAUGAGCAUUCUUUUAUGCUUCGCUCAGAAGAAUCAGCUCCCUAAAAAGGUGGCCAGGUUAGAGGAGGAGACAGCUAGCCAGGAAGUCCGGGACAUCCCCUACGUGGACCCACUAAACCAACUGCCAGCAGCAAGAAGAAGGAUGCAACACGGCUGGACAGACUGGUGCGGAGUGCAGCAUCUGUGGUGGGCACAGAGCUGAACACUGUAGUGUCAGUAGCAGAAAACGGACCCUGGAUAAGAUCCUGUCCAUACUGGACAACGCCUCCCACCUUUGCACAGGACUCUGAUCAGUCAGAUGAGUGUGUUCAGCACCAUGCUGCUGUCUCUGACCUGCUCUACAAACAGACUGUGAGAAGGUGAGCACCUCCCUUCUCACUGUCUCCCACGAUGGACACUUUGUGAUGACGUGGCCUGCGAGGCAGCGUCGGAGAACAAAAGACUAUUUGGAUUUUGUGGCACAUGUACACGCGGGUGCGCACACACACACACAGAUGGACUCUUUAUCAGCUUGUACAUAUUUUAGGUGCUUGGCGACGUCUUUGGCAUGGCGUGGACACUUCGGCGCCAGAAACUCGGUCCACUGCGUCACUCGUGACAGUUUUAUCCCCGGUCCAGCAUCCAGGCGUGUAGUGAGGUACCCACUACUCGUCCCACUCUUCAUCUGUCCGUUUAUAAAGACUCUGGUUCUUCAUACACUCACGUACACGUACUCACCUGCACUCCCGGUCCGGCUCCAUUGCUCCAUCCAAGCAGAGGAACCAUUGCACUCAGGGGUGUUUAUAUUUCUUUAUGGUGUUGGUUAUGUAGUGUUUGUAUAAAGUUAUUGUGUGGUGUGUGGGUAAAUGAAAAGGCGCAUUGUUUAUUUUUGUAUUGAUUUAUUAUGAUUAAUAACAUUGUAUGGACCAUUAUGAUUUCCGGUGAUCCCCUCAAUAACGGUUUGAACCAUUUGGGCUCAACCAGCAGCCCUAUUUAAGGGCGCCUCAUUUAGCUUCUGGGCUUCUGGGAGAGAAGUGCUAUGACCUGCUGUGAGUUGAUGAUAUCACUGUUUUGUUCUUGCGUCUUGUCUGCUCUCAGACUGUGUGUCGAGCGUUUGUGUUUCGGGAAAAUAAAAAGUUUUUUCCUGGCACCUGAAGCUUCGCUGCCUCCUGUUUCCAACCUCUUCCACCUGAACUCGAAUUUGCCUAGAUCCCUUUAUUCGGGGAGACCACUCUGGUCCCUCACACAGACUCAGGAACUCGUUUCUUCCCCUGGCCAUUAGACUCUACAACUCAGGGGUUGUUCAGGGGUAACGAUCCCAGCGACAGUCUGUGCCUGAGUCACAUCAGGCAUAAAAAAAAUCACAUUUACUUAUUCCACUAUGCACCUUAUACUGUU